GAAAUUUAGACGAAUUCAAUUUCAAUCGAAUAUUAUCUACAAUCAGCAAAUCAAAUAAUAAUUUUUUUAUACAAAUUUUCCAUUAAAAAAAAAAAUUGUGUGAUGUCAAUAAGGAAAUAACAAGGGUCAGUUUUGGUCUAACGCAGUAACGCACACCACGCGCCCUCCAUAGUUGACAAACUUUUGUUGGCCCUAUGGAAAUUACAUUACAUUAAAUUAAACCAUCCGUUCGUAGCUCGGCCAACAGUCAUGCAUUCCUUAAGCAAUGAAGAAUUCAAAUUGAAGACCAAUUACGCCAUUGAUGACAUUGAUUCUCCUGUUUUACACAUCAUGUAUCAUUUGGAUCUUAUUUGUUAUUACAAAGAUCCACCAUUAUUUAUCUCUCCAAUCAGAUUUCUUUUGCAGCUUCUCUUUUUUCCCCUUAUAUAUAUAUAUAUAUAUAU
rnacentral:misc_RNA from 1 species